rnacentral:lncRNA from 1 species
CAGGUGUCAUCUUCCUAAUGGGCUCAAGCCUUUAGUGCCUUGUAACUCUUCAAAAGUUCCUAGCCACUAGUAUUUUCUAACCCAAACUUUAUGACCUCUCUAAGAUGGCUUCAACAAUUUCCCUGGAUUCUCUCAGUGGAGAAGAAACCUCAAUACAUUGGCAGAGCCAGCUGAGGAAAGCUGCAGCCUAAAAGACUUUCUGUAAUCACUUGGCCCACCUGCCUGGGCAGCUCUUGACCUCAGGCUGCAGGUGCCCCAAAGCAUCCUCCAGGUCCAGGCUAUACAGGCAUCUCUUUCUCUACUGUUGCCCCGGGUCCUUGGCGGAGAGAAGGCAAUGCGGAUGUCUCAGAUACUGAAUAUGCCACUUACCAUGACUUUCCCCUGAAUGUUUACUGCUAAGAAAUAUGCUCCCUGUCCCCUCCCACUGCCCAGGGUUACCCAGCUCCGAGUUUCCAUUUCUAUUGGGAAAAUUGGGGAUGCUAUGUCUUUAGCAAAGCCCAGAUGUCUAAUGCCUGGGCCCUAGAGACUAUCAAGGGCUAUCUUUGUCCCAGUGCUUGUCCUGAUCACUUUUGAUACUCCUGCACAGGGCAUAUUUUGUCAUUCAUUCAUUCAUUCAUUCUUUCUUUCGUUCAUUCGUUCACAGUUGAACACCUAUGUGCUUGGCCUUAUCUAGGUGCUGGAAAUAUAAAAAGAGGCAUGAAAACAGAAAUGGACUCACUAACCUUGGAGAGAUAUCUUUGUGAUGGUCAGGCAAGGUGAAGGGGCAUUUGGUUGGAGCACAACCUGGCUGGACUGAAUGUGCAUGACAAUGGUGCCAGCUUUGGGCCCAGAGAAGAAGCUAGGGUGCCAUGGAAACUUCCAGACUGAAUUUAUUUUCAUGUUUUUCCUAGGAAAGAGGAAGAUUUGGGAAUGUGGUGCUGUUGAAGGGUUUUAAGUAAAGGAGACUGUAUGGAUUACCUUUCGAUUUCCUUGUUAGAGAGGGGACAUUAUGGCCAUAAGAAGGCAGAGGUGAAGGUUGCUGAUACUGCCCAUAGGAGAGGGAGCUGCCUGGGGAGUAUAGAAUGGAAGAGCCCCAGGAGAGAUGAGUGACAGACCGUGGAGUUAGGGAUCUAUAUACAGGGAAGCAAAAAUGGGGGCCAGGGGGAGACUAGCCUAUAAGGCACAAUCCUGAGUUUUGGGCACAUUCAAGUGCCUUCUACUCCUUUGCUAUUUAGGGAUAGAGCUCACAGGAGUCACUAAGCUUGACUACUGGAAUUGGGGAAUCACUUGAGCUAACCAGGUCAUAUAGGGGCAGGGGGCAGAUGCUUUGGGCAUUGGGGAAAGGAGGAAAUUUCAGAGAAAGUAUAGGACAGCCAGGAGGGCAGCAGAGACACCAGGGGAUAGAUGUCACUACCAAGAGGAAAGCUACUUUUUUUUGGCUACACCUUGACUUGUCUUGACAACAUGAUGACACGAAAAAACAUACCUCCUUCACUCUGACUGUGAGAUACAGGGAGAGGAAGUGGCGGCAUGGGCUCUCUUUAUGCAACCAAGGACAGGAAGGCCAUCGGUGGCUCUGGCAAACCUUUAUAGAUCUGGUGCAAUGUGAAGAGCAUCUGAUAAGUAGAAGCAGGAGCCUGAGGAUGUUCUGUGUCUGCAGGAUUCAGGCUAGAGGGGGGGUCCAGGGAGAUAGAAAACGGAGGUAACAGACGGGUCGAGAACAGGCACAGGGGCAAGCUCUUUGAUGGUGUGGUAGAGAGGAAAGAGUUAAAACACAAAACAGAAUAAAAUAGGAACUGGAAGUGUGUGAAAUGAAGGCUGGCAGGAGAAUGAAGAGAGAAAGUGGGGAAAGGAAGAAAUAGGUCCUAGUUUGGCAUAUCCAGCUCUACAGACAUGCUCCAAGGAUGUCCAGGGCAUGAGGGGAGAAGGGUUUUUGUUUGUUUGUUAGUUUCCUGGUAUAGUUUUGUUUCCUAGAGAAACAAAAAGAAUUGCAAGACUGCAUAUCUAUAAAAGAUGAAAGUCAAAAGGAAGUAGAAGAUGGAAAAAGGUAGACCAGCAAGGGCCUCAGGGACUCUAGGAAGGAACACAUUGACCAGGCCUGAGGGCUGCCAUUACAAACACUAGGCCUCACAGGGCCUUUCUAAGGCCUACUUAUCACAAUCUUUAGAACUACGCAGAGUAUUCCAAAGGGUCCCGAGAAAGAGGGAUGUGAGGAGGCAAUCUGAGAGAAGCUUAAAAGGGCCAGUGUGGGUCACGAAUAAAGCCCAACAGCACAAGGAAGCGGCCCAUCUGGGACGGGGCAGGCAUGAGAAAAGCUCCAGCCAUGAGGGCUACCUCUAAGCUCUGGAUUCAUAAGCUGGUCCCAGCCAUCCCACACAACCCCAGUUAGAGUCCCAUCAGGUAGCCCUCUUUUAUUCCCCAUACAGAGGCAAUCCAGUUCUGCAAAGGUGUAGACUUCAGGCCCUGGCUGCAAUAAUGGGUAGAGGGUCAGGGGAAGAGAGCAUGCCUACUAUCAGAACCUCAAUACCUCACAAAUACCACUUGGCAUUGCCAUGAUUUCAAUAGGCCUUGCCUGUUUAUAUGAAACAGUCUUUAGAGGUACCAAACACAUCUAUUGCUGCAGACUCAUGCUGUCUCUAAAGUCUUAUAUUUAAAGUUAAAAAUGAAGGUAUCGGUAGACUUCCAUGUCUGGAUUAUCCACCAGGAGCACUGGGAGAAACAUGUUUUCCAAGUAUGGUCAUUAGAACGGAAGGGACUACAGGGUUAGGAGUCAAGAGGCCACACAGAUUCAUUGCAGCAUCCUUCCUGGGCUGGGGCUGGUGCUUAGAGCAGAGAUGGUACUUGCAUGAACGAAACCAAUAAUCCUUGUAGCGGAGGCAGCCAAAAUGUGUGUUAAAAAUUACAGUGAAGGGGACAGCAGGGUUGAGGGUUCUGAUUGAAGGCCUGGAAACCUUGGAUGAGCUGAAAGGAGGCAGACUGUUAAGCAACCAACUUGGGGAAAAAAAGGAAGCUUUGGGGACAGAGUAGGUUCUUAGUGGAAAAAGACAUUUAUUUUAUUCGUUUAUUUUUUUCUUAUGUAUUUAUUUUGUCAGGGUCUCUCUGUGUGUAGCCUUGGCUGUCCUGGAUCUUGUUCUGUAGACCAGGCUGGCCUUGAGCUCACAGAGCUCUACCUCCCUCUGCCUCUCAAGUGCUAGGAUCAAAGGUUUGUGCCACCACCGCCACCACUCAGCAAAAAUGACUUUUUUUUUCUUUAAGGUUUUCUGAAGAUAAUGUGGGCAUUGGUGUCCACGCUUGUAAAAUGAGGAUGGUUCUAUCUACCGUCCCAUGGGGAUCACAUGGCGUAGACCUGCUGCGCUUUUUGUGGAACCUAGAUAUAUAUAGUCCCAAGUUCCCUAGUGAGAAAGAGCUAAGCAAUUCUUUGUGUGUGUGUGUGUUGUGUAGGCAGUGCGUUUGGUUGUCUCUGUAUAACAUGAUGGGCCAUGUCUGUUUUGGAGUGGUGGUGGAUGAAGGCUAUGUUGAGAAGGAAAGACCUAGGAGCUGUGACUUGCAGCCCAAGGCAAAGAAGACAAUUCUGAGGUUGGGACAUAGCCAGGCUGCCUUCAAAAGUGAUGACCCAAUCCCAGGGUUUUGCAAAGCUGAACAUCCAUAGAUGAUUUCAGUGCAGAGUAGCUGACCUGAUUGUGUUCCAUGGAAACCAUCCGUUUGGAGACCCUAGCUGGGGAAGGUCAUGGUGAAAAUCUUCAAGCCUCCAUGAGUUGCAGAAACAAGAGAGGCAUGUGUGCAUCUAUCUGGAUGCUCAGAAAUACAGGUUUUCAACUAGUGGAGCUUCAGUAAAUAUUGAUGAAUUGGACAUCCUAGAGAGGUGCCCUGGGGCAGCUCAACAUGGUGAGCCCCCUGACAUGGACGACUCCAUGGGAUCAGCAUCCAGAGUGAACAAGUUCUCAACAGCCACAGAGAAGCAUCACAUGAACUGUGGUGCAAGCAUUAAGAUGGCCUGAGUCAAGGAGCAGCUUUACUCUGAGAAGGCCUCCCCCUGACCCAAGCUGGACAGUAGAGCAUCAUUUAUUCAAUCAAUCAAUCAAUCAAUCAACCAAUCAAUCAACCAACCAAUCACUCUACGUUGCAAUUGGUGUUUUGUUUUUUUCUUUUUUUGAGAUAGGGUCUCACUAUGUAGCCUUGGCUGGUCUGGAACUUGGUAUGUAGACCAGGCUGGCCUCAUCCAGAUCUCCAUGUCUUUCUUCCUGCCUCCUGAGUGCUGGGAUUAAAAGUGUGCACUGCCAUUGUUUGACUAGAAACCUGGCCCCAAAGACUCCAAUAAACAUGUUGCUGGUACUGUAUGGCCAGUGCCAAACCCAGUGACCCUCAGUCCGCAUCCGCAGCAUUAGAACUGAGUUCUCUGUGUGAUACUGUCUUGGUGACUGUGAGGAAAUUUGGAGAGAAUCAGCCAAUUGGAGAAGAUACUGGUCAUAGCUGUCACAUCCCAAUAGACAUUUUCUCAGUUACACGUUCAUCUCAAAGGACUGAAGGAAGCAGCAGAGAGAUGGUCCAGUUCUCAGAUGGCCUUCAGCUUUGGCCCCCUUGGGCCAUCGAGGAGAAGUCUGCCUGACCCAGCGAGAAGUCUGCUUGACACUCUUGACGGUCUUGAAAGGUGUGGUAAAAAAAAGCCCUUGGAGCAUCUCCCUGUCAGCCAGGCCAGAGCAACAGGUACUGUGGGCUUUAGCAAGAGGACCAUGGAGAACCAGGCUGCCCUUCAACACUCUUAAGAUGUCUUCUGAUAAACAACCAACUCAUUGGCAUUCAAGUCCUUCUUUCCACAGGAUGCUAAGAAUCAGGUCUGCACCAGGCCAUCACACUGAUGUCAUAAUGGCAGCUUCUUAUCCUUUGUUAACAGCUUUUUGCUCAUUUCCUCCUGAGAGAUCGUCAGAAUGGGCUUCGGCAUCCAUUCGACCAGCAUGCUGGACAGGACCUUGAUCUCAAGGGAGAGCAAAGCCUUCCCCAUGGCACUCCUCACCUAAUGGCCGAGUGAGUCCUCUCCAGAAUCCCCUUCAGCCAGCGCCUUCAUGGCAAUGCUCUGGCCAUCUUGCAAACCCCUCAAAGUCUUCCCACCUCUCUCACUGCACCCUAAAGCCAGGGCUGCAUUUUUAUAUAUUUGUUUUACAGGAUUUCCCCC